GACGAACGCUGGCGGCGUGCUUAACACAUGCAAGUCGAACGGAAAGGCCCUGCGUUUGUGGGGUGCUCGAGUGGCGAACGGGUGAGUAUCAGGUGAGUAACCUGCCCUUUUCUUUGGGAGGAGUUAAGGAAACGGGGGUUACUAUCGGAUAGGAGAUGCUGUUGCAGUGAGAGGGGUGGAAAGUUUCUGCGUGUGGGGAUGGACGCGCGGAUUAUCAGCUAGUUGGUUGGGUAGGGGCUUACCAAGCGUGUGAAUGGUAGCCGGCAUGUGAGGGUGAACGGACCCAAUGGGCCUACGAUACGGACCAGACUCCUACGUUAGACAGCAGUGGGGAAUAUGGUCCAAUGAGCGCAAGCCUGUGGAAGCAACGACGCGUCCGUGAUGGCGGCUUUCGGGUUGUAAAAAGCAUUCGCCUAUGACGAAGCGUGAGUGACGGUAAUGGAUAAAGAAGCACCGGCUAACUACGUG
rnacentral:rRNA from 1 species